UCAGGGCCCUUGUGAAUUGAUGAAUAUGAAGACACUAAGAAAGCAGAAAUAGAACUGAGAAGAAUGAAAUAACUGUCUCUACCUUUCUCGAAUUGUCUAAUAUGGAAAGAAUGAAAGACAGCUAAUAAGCAACUCUCUGCAAGAAGACAUAUGGCUUAGAAUCUACUUGGAGAGAGUCAAACACAGAAUCCCUUUGAAUUUAAUGGCCAUUCCAGGUGAUUUGAACAGCCAAAUAAGAAACAGGUCCUCUUCAAUGUACAAUCUGCCAAGUAUGAAGUCUGAAUGACCAUCAUUAUUAUGUAUUUAAUGUGCAUAGAAAAUCUAUCUGCAACCUUCCAGAGUGUACCAGAAGUUUGGAAUGUACAUUAUUAUUGGCUCCAUCUCAAACCACUCAUAAAUCAAAGAAAAUAGCAGUUCCAGAGGAAUCAUCAUAGAGGCUUCUAGGCCCCCAUGCUGUGUGAACCUGGUGAGAAAGGGAAGUCUGCUCUCACUGGACACUGGAACUGUUUGUCUCUGUCUCUGCUGUACUUUCCCUGCCUCUACCUCACUUAGUAAAGAAAUCAUCUUUGCUUGAUAACUAAAACAACCAAUAAGGCUGAGAAAGGGGAAAACCCACAUCUGGAUUUAAAUACAAGGUAUUGGGCCAGCUGCUGGGGAUUAAACUUUGAACAAAACAGAUAGAAUCUAUGUCCUCAUGGGAGUGGCUAAUGGGAGAGUCGGAACAAAAAAAUAGCCAAGGAUAAUCCAGCAAAUGAUUUGGUGAAUGCUAUCAAAGAGAGAAAUACACAUGCUCUGGGAACACCAAGUAGGUACCUAAUACCUAACCUGUACCUGGGGGGCUGGAAAGGGCUUCUUGGAAGAGGCAGAGACUAAAAUGAAGAAUAAGCAUAAGUUAAGACAAAGCUGGGGUGGGGUCAGAAAGAGUGUGAUAGGCCAACGCAGCAACAUGAGCCAAGACUCAAAAAUAAGAGACAGUGUGGCACAUUUGAUGUAGGAAAGACAUUUAGCUGGGAUAGAAAGAAG
rnacentral:lncRNA from 1 species